UCAGUUCGGAUUGAAGGCUGAAAUUCGCCUUCAUGAAGCCGGAAUUGCUAGUAAUGGCAGGUCAGCAUACUGCCGUGAAUACGUUCCCGGGCCUUGUACACACCGCCCGUCACACCAUGAGAGUUGGCAACACCCGAAGUCGGUAGUCUAACCGCAAGGAGGACGCCGCCGAAGGUGGGGUUGAUGAUUAGGGUUAAGUCGUAACAAGGUACC
rnacentral:rRNA from 1 species